rnacentral:rRNA from 1 species
CAGUCGAACGAUGAAGCCUUUCGGGGUGGAUUAGUGGCGAACGGGUGAGUAACACGUGGGCAAUCUGCCCUUCACUCUGGGACAAGCCCUGGAAACGGGGUCUAAUACCGGAUAACACUCUGUCCCGCAUGGGACGGGGUUGAAAGCUCCGGCGGUGAAGGAUGAGCCCGCGGCCUAUCAGCUUGUUGGUGGGGUAAUGGCCUACCAAGGCGACGACGGGUAGCCGGCCUGAGAGGGCGACCGGCCACACUGGGACUGAGACACGGCCCAGACUCCUACGGGAGGCAGCAGUGGGGAAUAUUGCACAAUGGGCGAAAGCCUGAUGCAGCGACGCCGCGUGAGGGAUGACGGCCUUCGGGUUGUAAACCUCUUUCAGCAGGGAAGAAGCGAAAGUGACGGUACCUGCAGAAGAAGCGCCGGCUAACUACGUGCCAGCAGCCGCGGUAAUACGUAGGGCGCAAGCGUUGUCCGGAAUUAUUGGGCGUAAAGAGCUCGUAGGCGGCUUGUCACGUCGGAUGUGAAAGCCCGGGGCUUAACCCCGGGUCUGCAUUCGAUACGGGCUAGCUAGAGUGUGGUAGGGGAGAUCGGAAUUCCUGGUGUAGCGGUGAAAUGCGCAGAUAUCAGGAGGAACACCGGUGGCGAAGGCGGAUCUCUGGGCCAUUACUGACGCUGAGGAGCGAAAGCGUGGGGAGCGAACAGGAUUAGAUACCCUGGUAGUCCACGCCGUAAACGUUGGGAACU